rnacentral:rRNA from 1 species
GCCCGCACAAGCGGUGGAGCAUGUGGUUUAAUUCGAUGCAACGCGAAGAACCUUACCUACUCUUGACAUCCAGAGAAUUUAGCAGAGAUGCUUUAGUGCCUUCGGGAACUCUGAGACAGGUGCUGCAUGGCUGUCGUCAGCUCGUGUUGUGAAAUGUUGGGUUAAGUCCCGCAACGAGCGCAACCCUUAUCCUUUGUUGCCAGCGAUUCGGUCGGGAACUCAAAGGAGACUGCCGGUGAUAAACCGGAGGAAGGUGGGGAUGACGUCAAGUCAUCAUGGCCCUUACGAGUAGGGCUACACACGUGCUACAAUGGCGUAUACAAAGAGAAGCGACCUCGCGAGAGCAAGCGGAACUCAUAAAGUACGUCGUAGUCCGGAUUGGAGUCUGCAACUCGACUCCAUGAAGUCGGAAUCGCUAGUAAUCGUAGAUCAGAAUGCUACGGUGAAUACGUUCCCGGGCCUUGUACACACCGCCCGUCACACCAUGGGAGUGGGUUGCAAAAGAAGUAGGUAGCUUAACCUUCGGGAGGGCGCUUACCACUUUGUGAUUCAUGACUGGGGUGAAGUCGUAA